GAUGCCCCAGGGUUUACUCACCCACCUUCCAGCCUAGGAUGGCCCUGGGCUCCGGACUGACAAGCCCUCUUUUUGCCUCCUAGCUUCUCGCCAACGUGCGCAAGAAAAGCCGUGGGAGGUAGGACUCGGGGGAGAUCUCAGGAUGCACCUCUUACAUCGUAGCCGCCCAGCGACCCAGUAACUUCGAUCGCACAGGGCUCGGGAACGUUUUCUGGCGAAUGAAAUACUCACAAACCUCCAAGGCUCAGAGAGCCUUUGGUUUUAGUAAAUAGCGGAGGUGCGCUGGAGUUUCCCACAGGACUAGAGCCUUCCUACAGGUGUUCAGUCUGGGGUCAUUCGCUGGUGACUUAGGUUGGAGUGAGGGCAGGGCCAGAAAAUCGUCUCACCAGUCACAGAGCUUAGGACAGUGAUGAUGAUGAUGGGUAUGAAGCCUCUCUCCCCUGGGGGGGUCUGGAUUGAAGUCUAGGGUGUAUGCAAUUUGAAAAAUAGCAUAUCCAACAUUAUAAUUUAAUGCUUUGAGGCGAAUAAGAUUUUUAUUUGUAAAAACAUUGGAGAACAAAAUUUAGAUACUUUUUGAUUGACUGAUAGGAUGACAAGUUGUCUUGCCUUUCCCAGGAAGAGGUAAUUUUUUUCCCCCUUUAAGAUCAAAAGAAGGAAAGUUUUGAGGCACUGAGGGCUCUUCUAGGAUGUGACCUAGAUAUUGCACAGUAAAAUGCAUGCUCUGGGCCAGUGGCAGGUCAAGGCUUUCCUUCCUCCACUCUGGACAUGCAGUGGGUAUUGAAACUAAGAGAUGGGAUCCCUGAUGUCGGAAGCCCUGGUUAGGCCUGAAGUCACACGUCUAGGUCUGGCUGUACCCUUCAGGUUUAGGGUGGCCUGGCAGAGGAUGCUAAUGUUGGCCUGGGCUGACAUUAAAAUGAAUGAGUGGGUGAAUCAGUGUUAGUGGUGGAAGAGGUCUCUGGGCUCAUUACUACUAGUCUUUACAGAUGAAGAAAAUGAGCCUCUGAAGAGAAAGACUUUUUUGAGGUUACACAGUUAACUGUGUGACAGCCACAACCAGGACUGGGGCCCAAUCUCUCUUGACCCCGUGGCUUCCCCACCACACCAUGUCUAGAAGGUAUUUCAAGAGAUGGAAUUGGUACAUGCAUGGACAGAAUUCAAAUGCAGAGCAAGGGAAGGUGGAAAGAGUAGUGAGAUGGUCUGAUGUGCCUGUGGCUUGGGCUCCUGCCUGCAGGAAGCAAUCCAAGGCCUGCUGGCAGGCACAGGGAAGGACUUGAGGCAGUAAAGUGGUGCCUGUUCUGAUCACCUGUUGGGUUAGGGCUCUUAGCCCCCGACAAAAGGUGAUAUGAGACCUGCAACCAGGCAGUAGUACAAUCCACUUGCCAAUACAGUUCCUCAUUCAAGUUUGUGUUGGCACUCAAGUUAAAAAGUCAUCCUUUAUUUCUUCCCCCUCUUCCACCAAAAAUAAAUAGAAGAGCCCAAGUGCUCUGGGACUCCCACAGAAGCCUGGAAGGUUUGCUGACACUGAACUUGAGCUCUUACCAUGAGAAUGCAGGCCCCAGAGUGGUAUGAAGAUUAUUAUUCUAUAAAUGGAAAAUUCCACCGUGAUCCUGCAGCCUGCAUACCUCCAAGGGAUGCAGACGUUUUGAGCUCUGAGGAGUGGGAACCAUCAUUCUGAGAAAAAGUUCAGCAAGGAAAGUUUAAAACUACUGUUUCUGCUCCCUCUGGGUCAGGCCCAACGAAGGAAGGCAAACAAACGGAGACCUUCUUUCUUGCCCCACAUGGUUCUUAUGUGAUGGAAUGAAGAGAAUAGGAACUUGGAUAUGAACUUGAAUAAGAACAAAUGCCUUGCUGGGGACUUGCAGCCUGAGUGAGUGGGCAGUGGUGACAGGACAGAGAUGCCCCAGAAGGAAGUGGAAGGAACAAGUGUGUUCUGGAGUCUGGCCACGUGCUAUUUCCGGGGCUGCUCACCUUGCUUGUUGUCACCGUUGCCCACUGUCAAGCAGGCAUUUGGCCUAAAAGGAAAGUCUGAAAGUUGUCACGGGCGCAUGCUGGGCAUAGUACCCUGGAAGCCUUUGCUGUUAGUCACCAUGGAAGGGGCAAAGUGGCAGCUACUCCAGCUCUGGGUAAAAUAAAUGGUUACUUUUGUCACCAAGCACAGUCCUCAGCCUGGCAGUGAGCUUGCCAGCUCUUUGAGGUGGGAGGACUGACUUGAGAGUGGCUCUUAGUACUUCCCAUGAAGUCUGACUGUCUUUUGUUCACUUUCCAGGAGUCUGGAACGAAACAGGUGGAAGUAGCCAGGGUGUGGACAUUUCUCCAGAGGACACCCUCAGACAGUCAAGGCAAGAAGACAGGAGUCAACUCUCAGGGACGUAUUCCCCCAAGAAACGCACGACCAGUGUCCGUCCUUAGAGGGCAUGAGGCAGAUCCUUUGGCUGAGCUGCGUUUCUCUGGAGCAGCUCAGAAAUGCAACGGACUGUUUCCUGGAGGGUGCGGAGGGCUGAGCUGAGGUCUGGGCUGCCCUCCUUGCUCCGUGGGUUCCCUCCGCCACGCUGCUGGAGCGUGUUCACAGAUGGUCUCUCCAGUGUGAACCCCACAAGGGCCAUGGUCUCCACUGUUUUAUUCUCUGCCGUGUCGCUUAGGCCUAGCACUUUGCCCGGCACCAGGGGGCCGCUCCAGUACUGGCUGAAGGACACAUGUGCCAUCAACCCCAGUCUCAUCUUGGUGACUCACCUGUGAAUGGGGGGACCUUCCAGAACAUGCAUUCUGCCUGGCUCACAAGGAUGGGAAGACAUGGAGAGAUGGCCAUUCCACUCCCUGGACUCAUCUGCCCUGACUUGGAUGACCGACUCCUGACCCAGCCGGGCUUCCUGCAUCUGGGCUCAGCUUUCGGAGGCCCAGCCUCCGAAAAAGGACACAGCCGCCAGGACCUGCCUCAGCUCCCCAGGUGGCCGGGCGCUUUCCAUCCAGCUGGAAGAUGCUGGUGCCCUAGGGCAGGGCUGCAGCCUGUGGCAGAUCUGCACACCCGUGGCCCACAGAUCUGCUUUCGCCCACACUCCCAGGGCCUCUUUCCAUGCAUCCUCUGACUGACUGACUCUUUCUCUUAUAUAAACACACACAUCAAGGGAAGGAAACCUUUAGUGUUACCGUGUUUUAACCUGGAACAGGUUAAACAGGUAAACGUCUUCUCCUGCGGUCUGGAGGAAUGUGGGGGACAGCACCUGUGAGUGGCGGGCUGGGGCGGGGGUCAGUGUCCUUCAUUCUUCCUGCUGGGCAAGCUCACAAGUCAAAUAUUGGGUCUAAUUUUUAAAGCCAUUUUCGUGACAGUGGUUUUCCAUUUAAUCCCCAGAGCUAACAAUCUGUGAUCAGUUUCCCUGAACAAAUGCCCUCCUUUAACUUCAUUAGCUCGUAAUUAAUUUGCUAGCAUGUGUCCAAGAUAAUUAACACUCCUGAUUAGAGACAGGCAAAGGAGGGACUUCCUUUUUCGUGGUCAAUACAAACAUUGAUUAAAAUCUGAACUGUUUCCUAAUUCUCCUUACAAUUUAAUUCAGUGAAAGUGGCGAUCGGUAAUUUGUGGUGGUUGUUUAAAACAUUAAAUUGGAGGUGAGACAAA